rnacentral:misc_RNA from 1 species
GGUAGAGGAGUGUUUCAGCCUGUCUAGGAUGUGGGUGUCUGUCUCAGUUGACUUCGACUUGAUAAGGAUCCUUAGAGGGAUAAUGGAGUCCUAUUCCAAGAUGAGUCUCCCUUCUGAAUUAUCCACAGACCUGGUAACGUCUCGUUUCCGAGAAUUUUUGCCUGGUAAACGUUUUUUACUUGUUCUAGAUGAUGUCUGGAAUGACAAAUACGAGCUUUGGGAGCCACUUCUGCAACUCCUUAAAUUAGGGAAGAACGGAAGUAAAGUUUUAGUAACCAGUCGCAGUCAAAGGGUUGCGGAUGUUGUUGGCACUAGACCUGCCCACCUUUUAGGGUAUUUGCCUGAAGAUAAAUGCUGGGAGCUGUUUGAAAGAAUUGCAUUCAAGAAGGUUAAUCUUUCAGAUCGUCUGCUAAUAAAAGAGUUGGAGGACAAUGGCAAGGAAAUUGUUGCCAAGUGCAAAGGUUUGCCUUUGGCGGUAAAGGCAAUGGCGGGUAUGUUGCGUGGCAACACUGAUCCAGCCAAGUGGAGAAGAAUUUCGAAAAGCAAUAUGUGGGAGCUAGAAGAUCAAAAUAUUCUACCAGCCCUUAAAUUGAGUUAUAAUCACCUGCCAUCUCAUCUGAAGCAAUGUUUU